GAUGAACGCUGGCGGCGUGCCUAAUACAUGCAAGUCGAGCGAAGUUUUUCUGGUGCUUCCACCGGAAAAACUUAGCGGCGAACGUGUGAGUAACACGUAAAGAACCUGCCUCAUAGACUGGGACAACCAUUGGAAACGAUAGCUAAUACCGGAUAACAGCAUUAACUGCAUGGCUGAUGUUUAAAAGUUGGUUUUGCUAACACUAUGAGAUGGCUUUGCGGUGCAUUAGCUAGUUGGUGGGGUAAAGGCCUACCAAGGCGACGAUGCAUAGCCGACCUGAGAGGGUGAUCGGCCACACUGGAACUGAGACACGGCCCAGACUCCUACGGGAGGCAGCAGUAGGGAAUCUUCCGCAAUGGGCGAAAGCCUGACGGAGCAACGCCGCGUGAGUGAAGAAGGAUUUCGGUUCGUAAAGCUCUGUUGUUAGGGAAGAAUGAUUGUGUAGUAACUAUACACAGUAGAGACGGUACCUAACCAGAAAGCCACGGCUAACUACGUG
rnacentral:rRNA from 1 species